UACGGAGGGUGCAAGCGUUGUUCGGAAUCACUGGGCGUAAAGCGCGUGUAGGCGGCCUUCUCAGUCUGGCGUGAAAGCCCGGGGCUCACCCCCGGAAGUGCAUUGGAUACUGGGAGGCUGGAGUACCGGAGAGGAGGGUGGAAUUCCUGGUGUAGCGGUGAAAUGCGUAGAUAUCAGGAGGAACACCGGUGGCGAAGGCGGCCCUCUGGACGGAUACUGACGCUGAGACGCGACAGCGUGGGGAG
rnacentral:rRNA from 1 species